UAUUUUAAAAUUGUUGCACGGGACUUUUAAUCCAAGCUGCAUGCGUUAAUCCCCAGCAUGCACGUCACCCAAACACAACUUCUUGCGAAAGCUUGUCAAAGAGAAACAUCGCCAAAUACUCUCUGACUUUCCAAUAGCUCCGCUCACGCUCUCGCACUCUCCCAUGCGCUCAGCAGUGUGCGAGGCGAGAGCGAGAAGCACACGCACACCAAUGUGGCUUCUUAUCAAACCAACGGCUAGCUGGAAGCAGACGGGCACAGCCAGUCGGGACUCGCCUAUAAGGAUAACACGGGAGCAGCGACGCUUCGCUUCACUUUAUAAGGUGAAAUACGAAACUGGAGCAGUUCAGUUCGCAGUUGGCUGGCGUCGCAGAAGGUUGCACUAGCAGUAGCAAAGCGGAUAGGCAAAAAGUAAUCGCAAUCAACAGCUAUAAAAAAGUUGUAACAGUGUGAAGGAGUUGCUGAUGAAUAAAGUGACUAAAUGAAUGGCCAUUGUGAGUGCACUCACAUCAGCUGUAAAAGUGCGCGCUGUGACAACAAGUGCGACAAAAUUCAAAACUAAAGUUCAAUUGAAAUAAAUGUAACAGCAGUAGUAGCUGCGGCAGCAGCUAAAACAAUUAACAACAAAUUGGCCAAGAGCUGAGCGUCUGCUUAACGUUUACUAGACUGGACUUCUGGCCAAGGGCCAUGUGCAUUUGCACAUAAUUGCAAACUGUUGCGUGCCAUGCCACAUUAAAUACGCCUCAAUGUUUUUCGCUGCUGCAGCUGCCACACAAAUAAAAAAGCGUCCAAAUAGUGCACAAAAUUCUGCUUAAAUAAAUAUCAUAACAAGGAAUUUACUUUGAAAAAAAAAAAGGAAAUAGAUAAAACGCGACAAUUUCAUAAAAACUAAAUUAUUUCAUGUGUAAAAUUCUGCAAACAUAAAAACGAGCUGCGCGAAACGAAAAUAAAAAGGAUUGCCACCUUGACAGGUGAGUUCCCAUAAUAAUUACCUUGCAAUAAUUUGUAAUGAUAAAUUUAUGAUUUAUUAUGCAGUUUAUGACGCAAAUAUUUUAAUUGUUAUUUCAUUUUUAUACGCAUUUAUCGUUAAUCAUUUAACAUGCAUUAGUUUUGAGGCAAAAUUAUCGUACCUGAAAAAGUUACAGUUAUCUGAAAUGUAUUUUAAUGCAUAGCUUAAUUAGUUUGUUAAUAUUCAAGGCAAGCGCGGUUAAAAUAUUCAAGGCGAGCGUAAGGGUAUUCACGUUGCCUGCCGACAUUUCACUAUGGUUAACUUAUGCGAUGAAGUUUCACGCAAAUGCGGGCUUUUUAGUAAUUCCACUCGCAAGUGUGGAAAAGUCGCGAUAUUUACAAUUCGAUCGGCGUUAAACACAGUUACACAGAUCUUUCUUCAAAUUCAUUUCACACUUUUAGGAAAACCCACUCCGCUUCCUUGAUAAUCGCGUGUCGAGUGUUGAAUGGGCGCAGUUUUGGGUGUAAAGAAAAUGAAUAUGAGACGUGUUUCACGCUUUUCGGAAAUUCCACACCUCAUUGUUAAAAUAGGAAAGUCAGUAGUUGUACGGGCGAGGUUGCAGCCUUUCUCCAUUCGGAUUGAA